rnacentral:lncRNA from 1 species
GAACUAGACCUGCAAAGAAAUAAUCAGGCUUGGAAUCAAGAAUGACUAUAGCCUAAUUCAUUAAUUUCAAGGAAUUUAAAAGUGAAAUUUCUAUUUGAUAAUUUGAUUGACUAUUUAUAUUUUGGUGCACUUCUAGAGCUAUUUAGAACCGAAAAUUCCACUUUUAAGAUUAGGAUGGGGGCUUGCAGUGCUACCAAUAAAGGGCAAAGGCAAAGAGGAGGGUGGAGAAAAA